UUAACUAAAAUUUGUAUGAAGUUGGAACGUUUGCCUAAGUUUGCCGCUAAGGGCGCUGUUCCAACUGCAUACAAAUUUGAGUUA
rnacentral:pre_miRNA from 1 species